rnacentral:ncRNA from 1 species
AAGUCGGCAAAUCAGAUCCGCAACAUGUGAACGUGUCGCCGAUUUGAUCGAGGGUUCUGGCGCAAGUUGGGAUCUCAGAGAUCGAUUGGAACGCGCGGCCGAUGCGUGCGUGGACCGUUCCAGCUGUCGGCUCGACAGGAAAGUGUUGAGCAUUUCUUUCGGCGUUGAAAGGUUAACUUAGAACUGGCACGGACAAGUGGAUUCUGACUGUUUAAUCGAAACAAAGCAUUGUGAUGGCGGUCGACCGGUGUUGACAAAAUGUCAUCUCUGCCCAGUGCCCUGAAGGUCAAAGUGAAGAAAUAUGCAAUGACGCGCGGGUGAACGCCGGGAGUAACUGUGAUUGUUUAAAGUGGCGUCGCUGCGGACGGUCGGUUGCUCACGCGCUCCGGUCGAACUGCUUUGUUCGUUACUUUCGGGACAUGUUCCGCGUGUGGCAGGCCUUAUAAUUGGCGCUCGGGAUAUACCUCGUAUGCCAACUCCCACUA